UCAACCUGAGAGUUUGAUCCUGGCUCAGAGCGAACGCUGGCGGCAGGCCUAACACAUGCAAGUCGAACGCCCCUUCGGGGGAGUGGCGGACGGGUGAG
rnacentral:rRNA from 1 species